AUUGAACGCUGGCGGCAGGCGUAACACAUGCCAGUCGAACGAGUGGCGGACGGGUGAGUAAUGCUUGGGAAACUGGCUGAUGGAGGGGGAUAACGACGGGAAACUGUAGCUAAUACCGCGUACCAUAGGAUGAGCCCAAGUGGGAUUAGGUAGUUGGUGGGGUAAGGGCUUACCAAGCCGACGAUCCCUAGCUGGUCUGAGAGGAUGACCAGCCACACUGGGACUGAGACACGGACCGGACUCCUCCGGCAGGCAGCAGUGGGGAAUAUUGCGCAAUGGGGGCAACCUGACGCAGCCAUGCCGCGUGAAUGAAGAAGGCCUUCGGGUUGUAAAGUUCUUUCGGUGGCGAGGCGUUAAUCACAGAAGAAGCACCGGCUAACUCCGUGCCAGCAGCCGCGGUAAUUC
rnacentral:rRNA from 1 species